UUGUUUCCCUUACCAGAUGACAAAUGCCUUUGAAGCAGCAGGGAUAAAGGAAAGAGCUCUGGUAUGAGUGGAUGGAGCUGUACCUCUGGUCAUUUGCAUGAUAUUAGGCUAAUUAUUUAACCUCCAAAUACAGAACAGCCUUGAAUUUCAGAGCAAGGGUACAGGACUUCCGUUGCUUAAAUACAACCUCCACUGCCAACCCUAUGUGCAACUUUGGGAAACUUAACAUAAUAUGUCAAAGCCUCAGUUUUCUCAUCUGUGCAGUGGAGAAAAUAAACUAUCUACCUUGUAGAGUUAUUGUAAAAAUAAUGUGUGCAGACGUCUUUGCCUGGUGCCUGGCACAGAUUGAGCACCCAGUACAUGUUAGCCUCUUAGUGGCUCUUCUCUGAACCCUGGUAUCCUCAACUAUAAAACAGGCAUAAUGAACUCUGCCAUUCUUAUUGCACGACAUUGUUUGGGAGCCAAAUCAAAAUAAGUGGAAGUUAGCAGUACAUUAUAAAUUGUGAAGUGUCACACACUAUUAGGUAUUCCUAUUAUUAUUAGAUAACUCAGGUAAAAGAAACAAAUUUCUAAUGCAGUCAUGGACACAGAGUAGAAGACUAGCAGAUAUUUGUUGAAAUAAAUUAAAUAUAAUCUUUAAGAACAGGAGGCUUUUAUAAUUGCUUGGCACCCAGAUAUUACCCCCCCACCUCCACCCCAGGUACAUUUCUGUUUGCUUUAUAAGUGGAAAGUGCUCAGCACACUUCUUGGCACAUACAGCGAUAUCCCUCCUGGCAGUAUGGGCAUUCUCCAGAUCUGGGAAAGCUGUGUAGCCCUCACCCUCUUGUCCCCCUGUCAUCAUGCUUCUUGUCUCACUGUCUCAGUGGUAGUUGAACCAGUGAUCCUGCUGUUUUCUUGGUCAUAUCAGUAUCACUGAAGAGAAACUACAGAGAGUGUCUUUGAAAGGGGAAGUGAUCUGUUAUGUCCCUGGCCCAACUCAUUUUUCACUUAAAGGCAGGGCAGAGUGAAUCAUAUUUUUCUCUGAAGUCUUUAUUUUCCUGUCAAUAAAAAUCUUGUUAGCUGCCUGGCUAGGCAGGGUUUAACACUGGCAUGCUUAUCUGGUCGAUCCUGUCUCUUUUCCUUAUUAACCCUGGUUUGGUGUUGGACAGCUGACAUGCAGGUACAGGUAUAGUCAACAGUCCAGGGCCAUUAAUUUGGUUUAGAGUCUUGUCCUCUCAUUUAUUUGACAUCUACCACUUAUCCUACAAGGAACUGUGAGGAACAUAGAAAAGCAUUAGAGGUGGCUGGAGAUAUUCAUAAUGGGGAAGGAUGAGGGUAAGAGUGUGUUCUUUGGAGUCAGAUCAGUAAGAGGUGUGUCUCCAUCAAUUAGGACAUUUCUGGUCCAGGUUUCCAGUUCUCCUUUUGUUAAAAUAAUGAAUAUAAAAUAUUUGGCACAGUUCCUGGAAAUAAGUAGGCAGAAAAUUCUAGCCUUGAUAAUAAUUAUUCAACUCACUGAGAAUUAAAAAGCACCUGUUAUGUGCAGGGAACUGUUUUGAAUACUUGGAAUGCAUCAGAGAACAAAGCAAAAAACCCUGUCCUCGUGGAGCUUACACAGUAAGGAUGAAGAUGAAGAUGAUAUUGAAGAUGAAGAUGAGGAUGACUCCUACCCUCUGGGAGCUUAAAAUCUGUUAGAGGAAAUAAAAUGACUUCCCAUGACGCCACGGCCUUUCCCUGGAAUCCUUGCAGCCCAAUAAAUUUCCCCUGUUGCACAGUGAGAUCAUCAAGAGUCCAAAGAAGUCUCUAUUCAUUUCUGGGCCUCUACUUUCUGGUUUUCUGAGUAUAUUAAUGAGUUUCUUGUAUGAACUUUUCAACUUCAUGAUAAGAUGUGGCCUAUCAUGGGUGAGAAGGAUGGCUCAUGGAGGCUCCAUUAAAAUAUGCUGGGCAUUGUAGGACAGAGUUCAUUUAUUUAUUCAUCCAUUUAUUCAGAAAUAUUCCUUGAGCACCUGGGAGGUAGCAGGGACUGUGCCAAACAUUGAAGAACACAGGGAUGAAUCAAGCAUGGUGCCUGUUCACACUUCACCAGAGCCAGUGACACAUGAAUAACUAUUUCCCUAAGCAAUUCCGAGAGAACUCUUCAGUCUGAGAUGGCAUAUCUGUAUCACAACCAACUCCUGGUGUCAUCUGGUCAAAGUCCUGAUGUUAAAGACAAGCAACUCUGUGUGGUCCUCCAAACAACCCAGUAGAGUGGACAAGAAAGGGAUGUAUCUCUGAGUUUCAGUUUCCUCAAUUGUAAAAUGAGGGCAAACUGGCAGAGGAAGUCUGCCGACGAAAAGUUCUUUUUGGAGGUUUCCACUGCUGAAAACAAGAUGGUUCUCCUCCACCGUUUUCACAGCUGGCAAAGGGAGAGGCAUAGACAUAGCCAAAGGGAUGCAGGAAGGGGUUUGAAGACAAGCUGGUCUGAAUUCACAGCGUGGGAGAAGUCUAAUUUCAAAAUAAAUAUAUAUGUCAAGAAAAAAAAUCUAAGCAAGCCUAUAUAUAAAAUCAGGAUGCUACUGACAACUAAUGGAUAA